UCUCUUCAUAAUUUGCUUAUAUUGACGGCUUCGCUAAUUAAGCCCCAAAAUCAGUCAAGCGGCAGAAAGCUUUCCCACAAAAUCUCAAACCCUAGAAAACCCACCUAGUGUUUCUUCUCUCAAAGCUUUGGGCAAACCCAAGCCCAAGCUCUCAACCAAACAUGAAGACGGUCAUAGGUGAGGUCCUCUCGUCAAAGCCAAUCUCUCUCAAGAAGGCCACCUCGACCCUCUCCACCUUCGUCUCCACCGAGAACGGCGCGUCGCCGGCCGUCUGUGCCUACCUCCGACGCGCCCUUGCCUCGUUCAAGGAGUUGAGGCAGCACGGGAAGGAGCUCGGAGGUCCAAGAUACGAGCAGAGGCACUACCGGCCCAAAUCGGAGACUCUCAGCGAUGUGAGUCACAAGCAAAAAAGAGAUGAGCCGGAGAGUAAUAUUGCCAGCCGAAACCCGAUAGAAAGGGACAAAAAAACCACCCGGAUCGUCGUUCCGGGUCAGGAAACGGGUCACAGGGUUGGAGACGAGGGUAAGAGAGAGAAGCAUAGGAAGAAUAAGCAGAAGGGCGUAUUUGGUAAAUUUGGGGAUAAUGGAGGUGAAGUUGGGGAGAGUAGAGGCUCUGAAAUUAAAGUGAAAAUCGAGCCUGAAGUGAAUCCGGGUCGAAGAGAUGAGGGCAAUGUGGGAAUUGAGAGCGAGAGAAAGAAGCACAAAAAGAAGAAGAUUAUAGCCGAAGAGAUUAAAGAAGAAAGUAAAGAGUUAGGUUUAGCCGAUUCGUAUUCGGUGGAACCACAGAGUAAUAAAAGGAAGAAGAAGAAGAAGGAGAUAAACGAUGGUAGUGAUUUUAAGAAUAAUGGGAUUAAAGCUGAGGACAGAGAUGAUAGGGGUGAAAUGGGAAUUGAAAAAGUAAAGGAGGAGAGCAAGAAGAGGAAGAAUAAGGAGGUUGAGGAGAAAGCAGAGGAUGGUUCGGAGGAGCAGAGGGGUAAGAAGAAGAAGAGGAGGAGAAAUGAAUGAGAUAGAUUUGAGUAUUAGGUGGUUUAGCAAUUUUGCUGGCGUUGUAUUUGGAAACUGGUGGAGAUUUUGUUUCAAAGCAAUCCAUUGGCUCGGCCUGGCAUAAGGGUUUGAAGUAUACAUGUUGGCUGCCUAUGGUAUCUCCCCCAAGACUUAGAGCUACCUUGACAUUUGAAUGGUGGCCUGGUGGGCUUUGAUGGAGGAAACGUGAGAAGGGGUGAGGUUUUCUGUGUCC